GAGGCUCAACCUCGGACUUGCAGUGGGUACGGGCAGGCUAGAGUGUGGUAGGGGAGACUGGAAUUCCUGGUGUAGCGGUGAAAUGCACAGAUAUCAGGAGGAACACCGAUGGCGAAGGCAGGUCUCUGGGCCACUACUGACGCUGAGAAGCGAAAGCAUGGGGAGCGAACAGGAUUAGAUACCCUGGUAGUCCAUGCCGUAAACGUUGGGAACUAGGUGUGGGUCUCAUUCCACGAGAUCCGUGCCGCAGCUAACGCAUUAAGUUCCCCGCCUGGGGAGUACGGCCGCAAGGCUAAAACUCAAAGGAAUUGACGGGGGCCCGCACAAGCGGCGGAGCAUGCGGAUUAAUUCGAUGCAACGCGAAGAACCUUACCAAGGCUUGACAUACACCGGAAACAUCCAGAGAUGGGUGCCCCGCAAGGUCGGUGUACAGGUGGUGCAUGGUUGUCGUCAGCUCGUGUCGUGAGAUGUUGGGUUAAGUCCCGCAACGAGCGCAACCCUCGUUCUAUGUUGCCAGCACGUGAUGGUGGGGACUCAUAGGAGACUGCCGGGGUCAACUCGGAGGAAGGUGGGGAUGACGUCAAAUCAUCAUGCCCCUUAUGUCUUGGGCUUCACGCAUGCUACAAUGGCCGGUACAAAGGGCUGCGAAACCGUGAGGUGGAGCGAAUCCCAAAAAACCGGUCUCAGUUCGGAUUGGGGUCUGCAACUCGACCCCAUGAAGUCGGAGUCGCUAGUAAUCGCAGAUCAGCAACGCUGCGGUGAAUACGUUC
rnacentral:rRNA from 1 species